rnacentral:rRNA from 1 species
AUUGAACGCUGGCGGCAUGCCUUACACAUGCAAGUCGAACGGCAGCACGGGGCAACCUGGUGGCGAGUGGCGAACGGGUGAGUAAUGCAUCGGAACGUACCUUUCAGUGGGGGAUAACGUAGCGAAAGUUACGCUAAUACCGCAUAUUCUGUGAGCAGGAAAGCAGGGGAUCGCAAGACCUUGCGCUGAUUGAGCGGCCGAUGUCAGAUUAGCUAGUUGGUGAGGUAAAGGCUCACCAAGGCGACGAUCUGUAGCGGGUCUGAGAGGAUGAUCCGCCAAACUGGAACUGAGACACGGUCCAGACUCCUACGAGAGGCAGCAGUGGGGAAUUUUGGACAAUGGGGGCAACCCCGAUCCAGCCAUGCCGCGUGAGUGAAGAAGGCCUUCGGGUUGUAAAGCUCUUUCGGCCGGGAAGAAAUCGCACGGGCUAAUACCCUGUGUGGAUGACGGUACCGGAAUAAGAAGCACCGGCUAACUACGUGCCAGCCGCCGCCGUAAGAC